rnacentral:rRNA from 1 species
CCUACGGGAGGCAGCAGUGAGGAAUAUUGGUCAAUGGGCUUACGCCUGAACCAGCCAAGUCGCGUGAGGGAAGACUGCCCUAUGGGUUGUAAACCUCUUUUGUCAGGGAGCAACGCCGGCUACGUGUGCCCAGGCGGAGAGUACCUGGAGAAAAAGCAUCGGCUAACUCCGUGCCAGCAGCCGCGGUAAUACGGAGGAUGCGAGCGUUAUCCGGAUUUAUUGGGUUUAAAGGGUGCGCAGGCGGAAUGCGAAGUCAGCGGUAAAAUCGCGGGGCUCAACCCUGUCGCGCCGUUGAAACUGGCGGUCUUGAGUGGGCGAGAAGUAUGCGGAAUGCGUGGUGUAGCGGUGAAAUGCAUAGAUAUCACGCAGAACUCCGAUUGCGAAGGCAGCAUACCGGCGCCCAACUGACGCUGAAGCACGAAAGCGUGAGUAUCGAACAGGAUUAGAUACCCUAGUAGUC